rfam:Ovis aries breed Texel chromosome 6, whole genome shotgun sequence.
UCCUGCAUAGCUCAGUCAGGAAAGCAUCUGCCUGCAAUGCGGGAGACCUGGGUUCAAUUCCUGGGUUGGGAA